CCCCUACUUGUCCCUAUUUUCUAUUCUACACAAAAUUCCAACCUCACUCAACCAUGGCAGACCAUCACCAUGCUAUUUGGUGCAAGUAUUAUCUCUUUCUACCUUUGUCUGGGCGUAUUUUAAUGUCUUUAUCUUGUUUCAUGUUUGAAUAGUACAUCAAAUCUCAAAGCCAGAGUCUCGGUCUCUCCAUUUCGGGCAAGAUCUGAAUCAAAUCAUGUGAAAGAAAUUUCAACGUUCGUAUUUCAAGCUCUAUCUUAACCGAAUUUGAAAUCGAAAGUGAAAUCCCGCCUAAAUCACAAACCCUAGUUUUCUACUCCUAUAAAUACAUCUUUAACUCUUCAGCCAAAAGGGGAACGAUGGAAAACUCUCUCAUUUAAGCUAUUUUCUACUGUUUUUUUCAAAGAAAACUUUAGCAUUUUGUUGUCCCUCAUCUCUGUUCGUUUCUGUUUUGUCAAAGGAGAGUAGAUCUGAGACCUCAAAUCCCUUGUUCAUUGCACCACAAAAAGCCGAAGAAUUUCACUUGAGACUCAACGACGCCGACAUCGCGAGGAGUCUUAAUACAGGACUCCAUGUAUUUGCUAAGUCAGGAAUCUGCAUGUACGGUCUUCAAUCACUCUUAUCUCUCGCUCUCUCUCGAAACUCAUACAAACAAAAACCCGAAGAGAAGCGAGAGGAAAUGAAAAACAUUCGGCUAUACUUUUCCUUUAGUUACUUAUUAUGGAUAUUACACUUAAUUCCUUUUUUUAGUUGUUACCAUGAAUGAUUGUUUGUUUUGGUGAUUUGUUUAAAGUUUGAAGCAUUCUGAAGUUAGUUGAUCUUGAUCUAGACACAUAUGAAAACAUCUAAUUAUUAAUCAAGUCAUUUGUCACAUAGCAUCAUCACACCUGAUUUUACAAAGUAUUUACUCAUUCUAUCAUAUGGAACAUAGUAUUUAGAUAUAAAGUUUUUAAAUCCAUAUCUAAUCUGGACUGGGAAUGGAUGUUUCUAAAAUAACGAGGUUUAAAGUUUCACUUCUAUAAUCCUGAGGUUUUCAAAAAGAAAUAUCUUACACUUUUUUUUCUAUGCCAAAAAGGAGCUACAAGCUAAAAGUUUGAAACUUUUGAAAGCAUUAUUUGGUUUCUUUACCUAAAAAUAUUUUCUUUCCUUUUAAGUUUUGAUGUGAAUCAUUUUUGGUCAGAUUCACUAUUUCUCACUUUCCAAGUUCAAACACUACCUCUUUUAUUCUUUAGUCUAUUUUAAUCAAUUUUCUACGAGAGCAUAAAAAAGAGUAGCCAUUUAACUUUCAAAAAAUGAACAGGAUAACUUCUUAAGUUAAUGUAUUAUUUUGUCUUUAUUCGUAUCCUUAAUACCCUUUUUGUUUUUUUAAUAAUAAAUGACACCCACGAUAAUCAUUUUUUACUAGCCUUAAUUAAAUAAUUAAGUACGGACAGUUAACCAUUUUUAAUUGAUCUUACAGGGUUCCUAAUACCUUCCCUUUAGAUUAAUUGAACCUUUACCUAGAAUCUCAUAAGUUUAGUAGACUAUAAAUAGAGUUAACUUUAAACAAUGAUUUUAAUUAACUUUAGGUAUCCUAAUUCACCAUAAUAAUUAAGUGGCGACUCCUUAAACUUUAAUUAAUCCCAAAAUUACCGGAAUGUUGUAAACCAGUUUGACCUUGGUUAAAAUGGGGUAUAACAAUAUGUAUACACCAUGUGUGUGUGUAUAUAUAUAUAUAUAUAUACACACACACAAGGCCCCAUUUAAUUUAAGUUCGUAUUUGGACCAAGUACAGCCCAAUCCAGGUUGUGACCCGGCCCAAAUCCCUUUUAAUUCAAAUUAUCAGCAUACCCAACCCCACCCCUCAUUUUCAUUUUUUAUUUUUCAACACUCGCCCCCUUAUCCCGCUUCUCUCUCUCUCUCUCUCUCUUUCUUAAUACUUCCACAAAACCCUAGCAGCCGCCUCAAAUCUCUUCACCUCUCUCAUGCCAAAAAUGGCAUGGUUGCAGACCUGGGCUGACAUGCAUAGUAGUUGCGUGCCUAUGGUGGUGAAAGUGAUAAAGUUUACUCAAUUUUUGUACUCACUCUUACCCGAAUAUGGUAAAAACUUAACUUUACUAUGUUGUUUCCAUUUUUUUUUUGUCAAAAUCGUUUUUAUUUGCUGCUUUUAAGAUUAUUUUCACUGGUAUUUUGCUAUUGGUCCAUAUUCAUUGGGCCAGAUCGACCCAAGAGGGCCAGAUCUGACCAUGUAUUUGCUCAUUUCUGAUCUAGAUAGUUGAUUUGUUGGCUAAUCUGUUAGAUUGUAAGGAAAAGGAUUUUGUCCCACACUAAGUCUUUUUUGGGAGAGAAAAAAAUUCAAAAAAUUGGAAAAAUAGCAAGUAAAAUAUAUAUAGAGAAGAAUUUUAGAAAAAGGAUGUGAAAAACUUAGAUUUUUCAAAAAGACUUCCUAGUAAAAGAAUUUUGAAAACCUAAACUAAGGAGUUGGUUUUUUUAGUCGAAAUAUUUGGUCCUUAUUGCUUUCUUUCUUCGUAUGUGGCUGAGUUUGCUGAUUUGGAAGCACAGAGGCUCUCAAAUCCAUUCUUCUCUUGGCUGCGCAUUUAAAAGUAGCUGGAGCUAUCUGGAAGAAAUUCAUGGCAUGGGUAUCCGAAGAAGUUUAUGGGGAUGGAGGGAAGAGCUGCAAUGGGCUGAAAGGCAUCACAUGGGAAGGAACAAAGCUAGUCAACUUUAUAGAGUCUCACUAGCAGUUGCAACUUACUAUGUAUGGCAAGAGAGGAUUGGUCGAUUUUUCGGAAGCAACAGAGAGCAAUUGAAAGCAUGGAAAAAUUUAAUUUCGAUGUUUCUGAGGGAAGAAAAGGCGCAAUUCUUGGUCAGAUGAGUGACAUCUACAGAGGUUAUAGGCACAAGAUUAAAAGCAGGUAUUUCGAUUCGAAGGCAACUUAUCAACUUCGCUUGCGAAACAAACCUAAACUUGUUAACGCUGAUGAAUGGAAAUAUUUGGUCAACCUUUGGAGUGAUGCUGACUUUCAGAAAAAAAGCAUGCAAAACAAGACGAAUAGAUCGAAACGUUCAUUGCCUCCAUAUAUUGGAGCUAAAAGCUAUGCGAGACUUAGACACGAAAUGGCGGAGAAAAAAGAUGGAAAAACUCCUUCUCGUGUUGAAGUUUUCAUGGAAUCUUGCAAGAGAAAAACAGGAAAACAAGUUGAUGCUUUUCAACAAGAUGCUAUUGAUCAAUUUGUCCAAUUUAAAAAGCAGCAAGAAAAAGGAGAAAAUUCUUUAAAGGGAAAAUACAUAAACCCCCCCCCCCCCCCCCAACGUAUAGCCAGAUUAAUUAUGAUGCACCCAACCUUUGCGGGCGACCUAUUACCCCCCGGCCUUAUUUUUUCUGUAUUUUUGUACUUUUUUUCGGCUGACAUGGCACAAAAAAAUUUAAUACCCAGUUGCACAUGGGAGAGUGUUGCACACUCUCCCCCACAUCGGCGCUACAUCAGUGCCACCUCGAUGCCACGUCACUAAACCCUUCUUCUUCUUCUUCUUCUUCUUCUUCUUCUUCUUCUUCUUCUUCUUCUUCUUCUUCUUCAUUCCACCCACCAUUAAUUUUAUCCUCUUCACCACUAACCCCCAACUUUAAUUCACAGAGCAAUUAUUAUUUUCCAGACACAGUGCUAGUCCAAGAAAUCAUAUGACAUGCCGAAGUUAUACAAAUACAAAGACAAGAUUGACAACAAAGAAAUUAAACAAAACUUCAAAGUAAAAAUGCUCUAUAAGAUGUGCACUUUAAUGUUCCCUAUUAGUUCAAUCAAUGCAUAAACCACAACAUAGUACUGCUUAAAAGCGUUAAUUGCAUCAAAUUCACAGCAGCUUUCCCAUCAGAUUUUACUUGCAAACCAAUUUUGACUAACAAAUCACCAACAUACAAAAAUUUCAGAUUCAAAAUUGGUAACCCAACCCCAACCCAUUUCUUGGUUAAAUACCUGGUUGAUUCUCUCGGAUUCUCCGAAAAAGAAGCAAUGUUGGCAUCUUCCAAAGUAACUUCAUGUAAAACCUUAAAGAAUCCUGAUUUAGUCAUCGAUUUCUUGAAACAAACUGGUUUAGACAGGACCCAGAUGAAAAACAUGGUUUCUACUGUACCCAAAUUGCUAUUCUCUGAUGUUUCCAAGACCUUAAAACCCAAAUUCCAGUACCUUAUGGAUCUCAGGCUAUCUGGGUCCGACCUGGUGAAUGUAAUUGCUAAAGAUUCACAAAUUAUAGAAAGAGGUUUAGAUACUCAAAUGAGACCUACCAUUGAUUUGCUUAGGAGAACUUUGGGUAGUGAUGAUAAUAUAGUAAAGGCUAUAAAUAGAUUUCCUUGGUUGCUUACUUUUGGUGGUCAGCAUAUUAUGGAGACUAAUCUAUUGUUGUUGAAAAACUCUGGUGUUCCUGAUGUGAGAAUAAAAAAACUAUUGCUUAGAAUUCCUAGAUGUAUUGCACAAAAGCCUCAGUGGUUUAAGGGUUUGUUGCAUAGGGUAGAGAACGAAUUUCGAGGACAAAAUUAAUGGUGGGUGGAAUGAUGAAGAAGAAGAAGAAGGAAGAGGAGGGUUUAGUGACGUGGCGCCGAUGUGGCGAAGAGUGUGCAACACUCUCCCCUGUGCAACUAGGUAUUAAAUUUUUUUGUGCCAUGUCAGCCGAAAAAAAGUACAAAAAUACAGAAAAAAUAAGGCCAGGGGGAUAAUAGAUCGCCCGCAAAGGUUGGGUGCGUCAUAAUUAAUCUGGCUAUACGUUGGCGGGGGGUGGUUUAUGUAUUUUCCCUUCUUUAAAUGAUGAUGAUAUCUUCGAAAAAGUACUUGGGGCAGGAAAAAAUGGACAUCUUCGUGCAUAUGGCCCAGGAAAAAAUAUUAGUGAAUAUUUCGCGGGUAGACCAACGAAGGUACAACUCAUAAAGCAAUUAGAAUCAACAAGAAAAGAAUUGAACGAGCGUGUGGAAGAAGUUAAAAGGGAAGCUAAGGAGAAAAUAAGGGAAGCCAAGGAGCAAAUUGAAGAAAUGAAGAAAGAAACGGAUAAUAGGAUAGCAAAGUUGGAGAAACAAUGGGCAGCAAAAUUUCAAAUGUUGGUUGCAGCUCAAGGCCGACAAUCAAAUGAUGCAAAUCUAACCCUUGUGGAGUAGUAUGGAAGCAUCAAAAUCGAUGGGGACAUGAAGAAUUAUUUUUUCUCUUGCAAAAGUAUAUUGAUAUGUUUGAAUAAAGUGAUGUUUCACUAUUUUGGAUGACAUUGUUGAACCUUUGUUACAUCUUUUUUCUAGUAUAUUGCAUUUAUUACACGAUUGAAGAUAUAUUGCUACGAUAUUGUCUAUAAA